GAUGGACGCUGGCGGCGUGCCUAAUACAUGCAAGUCGAACGAAACUUCUUUAUCACCGAGUGCUUGCACUCACCGAUAAAGAGUUGAGUGGCGAACGGGUGAGUAACACGUGGGCAACCUGCCCAAAAGAGGGGGAUAACACUUGGAAACAGGUGCUAAUACCGCAUAACCAUAGUUACCGCAUGGUAACUAUGUAAAAGGUGGCUAUACUACCGCUUUUGGAUGGGCCCGCGGCGCAUUAGCUAGUUGGUAGGGUAAAGGCUUACCAAGGCAAUGAUGCGUAGCCGAAUUGAGAGGUUGAUCGGCCACAUUGGGACUGAGACACGGCCCAAACUCCUACGGGAGGCAGCAGUAGGGAAUCUUCCACAAUGGGCGAAAGCCUGAUGGAGCAACGCCGCGUGGGUGAAGAAGGUCUUCGGAUCGUAAAACCCUGUUGUUAGAGAAGAAAGUGCGUGAGAGUAACUGUUCACGUUUCGACGGUAUCUAACCAGAAAGCCACGGCUAACUACGUG
rnacentral:rRNA from 1 species